GGCACUUUGGCCGAGUGGUCUAAGGCGCCGUGUUCAGGUCCCUCCGUUUCGGUUCGUCCGAACGGUUCCUCUUCGCGGUCUAGUAAUAGGCGAGGGUUCGAAUCCCUCAGGUGUCA